rnacentral:rRNA from 1 species
AUUUGACCUCAAAUCAGGUAGGAGUACCCGCUGAACUUAAGCAUAUCAAUAAGCGGAGGAAAAGAAAAUAACAAUGAUUCCCCUAGUAACUGCGAGUGAAGAGGGACAAGCUCAAAUUUUAAAUCUGUUAGGUUUACCUAACCGAGUUGUAAUUUGAAGAGGCGUUUUCUGUGUUUCUGAUCAGCCCAAGUCCUUUGGGAUAGGGCAUCAUGGAGGGUGAGAAUCCCGUUCGGUUGGUCAGAUUCGCUUUACGAUACGUCAUCUAAGAGUCAAGUUGUUUGGGAUUGCAGCUUAAAAUGGGAGGUAAAUUUCUCCUAAGGCUAAAUAACGGCGAGAGACCGAUAGCGAACAAGUACCGUGAGGGAAAGAUGAAAAGAACUUUGAAAAGAGAGUUAAACAGUACGUGAAAUUGUUGAAAGGGAAACGAUUGAAGCCAGUCGUACCUUCGGGUAAUCGGCCUUUCGGGUGCGAUUCUGUGGAGCGUGAGGAGUUAAACGCCUUCAUGCCUGCAUAUUCGUGCACUUUGGGUGUACUUGCCCGUGUGGUAGGUUAACAUCAAUUUCGGAUAUCAUAAAAUGGCUGGAGGAAUGUAGCUUCGGUCUCGUACUGAAGUGUUAUAGCCUCUGGUAGAUGUGAUGACCGGGAUUGAGGAUUGCAACGAAUACCUUUUGGGCUACCCGCCUGAUCUCUGAAAGUUGCUCUGGUGCCGAAAGCUUGCUUACGGUUAUCAAAGUUGACGUUCAAAAGGUUAGAACGGGUUAAAUUCGUUAAGGAUGUUGACGUAAUGGCUUUAAACGACCCGUCUUGAAACACGGACCAAGGAGUCUAACAUAUGUGCGAGUGUUU